rnacentral:rRNA from 1 species
GCGGCCUAUCAGCUUGUUGGGGAGGUAACGGCUCACCAAGGCUUCGACGGGUAGCUGGUCUGAGAGGAUGAUCAGCCACACUGGGACUGAGACACGGCCCAGACUCCUACGGGAGGCAGCAGUGGGGAAUCUUGCGCAAUGGGCGAAAGCCUGACGCAGCCACGCCGCGUGCGGGAUGAAGGCCUUAGGGUUGUAAACCGCUUUUAACAGGAACGAAAAUGACGGUACCUGUAGAAUAAGGUGCGGCCAACUACGUGCCAGCAGCUGCGGUGACACGUAGGCACCAAGCGUUGUCCGGAUUUAUUGGGCGUAAAGAGCUCGUAGGCGGUUCAGUAAGUCGGGUGUGAAAACUCUGGGCUUAACCCAGAGACGCCACUCGAUACUAUUGUGACUAGAGUUCGGUAGGGGAGACUGGAAUUCCU